rnacentral:rRNA from 1 species
GGCAUGAGUAGCGACAAUCCUGGUGAGAAUCCAGGACACCGAAAGCCCAAGGUUUCCUACACAACGCUGAUCGAUGUAGGGUAAGUCGGGCCUAAGCCGUAGCGUGCAAGCGAAGGCGAUGGACAACGGGUUAAUAUUCCCGUACUGCUACUAUUUUGUUAUAAAGUAAAGGGGGGACACGGAAAGGUAGACGAAGCGUGCGUAUUGGACAUCGUGCGUUCUGUCCCGUAGGCCAAGCUAUAAUAGGCAAAUCCGUUAUAGCGCUAUGAGCUGAGAGGAUAGAGAACUUUCGGGCUUCGGCCCUAGGGAACUUCGCUGAUCCUAUACCGUCGAGAAAAGCCUCGUUACAAGAAAUAGAAGUAUCCGUACCGCAAACCGACACAGGUAGGCUGGGGUAAGUGUCCCAAGGUGAACGAGAUAACCCUCCUUAAGGAAUUCGACAAAUUAGCCCUGUAACUUUGGGAGAAAGGGUGCCCACGAGGUGAAAUCCACUUGCUGGAUGGAGGCCUUUGUGGGUCGCAGCAAAGAGGCUCAGGCGACUGUUUAUCAAAAACACAGGUGUCUGCUAAACCGAAAGGUGAUGUAUAGGCGCUGACGCCUGCCCAGUGCCGGAAGGUUAAGGGAAUGGGUUAGUUAAAUUCGUUUAACAAAGCUCAGAACCGAAGCCCCGGUGAACGGCGGCCGUAACUAUAACGGUCCUAAGGUAGCGAAGUCCCUUGUCGGGUAAGUUCCGACCUGCACGAAUGGCGUCACGACCUGAGCGUUGUCUCAAGGGGGGACUCGGUGAAAUUGCAAGUCCAGUGAAGAUGCUGGAUACCCGCAACAGGACAAAAAGACCCCGUGGAGCUUUACUGCAACUUGACAGUGGAUUGUGGUUAUAUAUGUGUAGGAUAGGCGGGAGACUUUGAAACUAUCACGCCAGUGGUGGUGGAGUCAACCUUGAAAUACCGCUCUUCUAUGACCUAUGUCCUAACCCCUAUGAACUAGGGGGACCCUGCCAGGUGGGCAGUUUGACUGGGGCGGUCGCCUCCUAAAGAGUAACGGAGGCGCACAAAGGUUCGCUCAAGGUGGAUGGAAAUCACCUGCAGAGUGUAUUGGCAUAAGCGAGCUUGACUGUGAGACCUACAAGUCGAGCAGAGACGAAAGUCGGUCAAAGUGAUCCUACGGUUCCGAGUGGAAGGGCCGUGGCUUAACGGAUAAAAGCUACCCC